UAGCUCAGUUGGUAAAGAGUCUGCCUGCAAUGCAGGAGACCCUGGUUCGAUUCCUGG
rnacentral:tRNA from 1 species